UUUUUUCCUAUUUUUGCUCUUCCGUCCUACCAAUAAUGGCGUCAUGGGAUCGGCCAGGGAGCCGCUCUCCCGGAAGGCCGUCUUGCCUUCGCGAGCGACCCUCCCUCUUUCCAAGUGCUACGAUCUCUGGAGAUGAAAAAACGUGACCCCAAAUUUUACUUUCCUCCUUAGAGCUUCGAGUUCGGCCCAUGUCGAGAAAUCGCGAUGGUUUCUGAAUGUGGGUUUCUCCGGUUGAGGAUUAAAAACAGCGCGGCUGAGACGAGAAGUACCGGCGUGAGGAAAAGCGCUCGUCCCUACCGAUCUGAGCAUCGCAGUACCCGAAGGAACAUGUGCUCGAGUAGCUAAUCACCUGAUAUCGGGUUUGGCGUGGAAGCAUUAGAUCGACGUCGGUGUGGGCGUGAUCGAUGCGGACUACAGAGGCCCGGUUGGGGUGAUCCUGUUCAAUUACUCGGACGUCGACUUUGAAGCGAAGCUAGUUUCAUUAUGCAGCUAUAUGUCAAAAUUGAGAGAGUGCGGUUGAUAAAGAAACUGGCAAAAAGCAAAGGAAGAAGGUCUUAUAGCAGAAGCUGCUGAUUUAAUACAAGAAAUUGCAGGAGCUAGAAGUUGAAUUCUGGUGUCUUUGAUCUUGUAAUUGGUUUUCCCUUGUCCAAUAUUAUGAGUGGUCUGAAUUGCUGUGGAAAAUUUUGGAGCAUUGGCAAAUACAGAGAAAAUCGCCUUUAUCCUUGAACAUGUACUGGAUUUUUGUAUUGCUUUUAGCCGUUUAUGCUCUCUUACUAUGAUCAGUUUUCUGAUGGAUGGUUUUGCAGGUUCUUUUAAGCUUAGAUUGCCAGGACUAUGUCCAGGCACAGAUCCAAAAAAUUAGCCCCCGGUGUUUGAUGCGGAUCCUUCCAAAGAGAAGAAAAAGCCUAAAGAAGGGGAAAGUAUUCUGGAAGAAGUGCCAGCUGAUAUGCCGUCACUUCUGGAGCUGAAACGGAUAUAAUAAGAACCCAUGAUAUGUGGUUUGCUAUAUGGCGAUUUAUGAGAUUCCAUCAGCAAAGGGGAAACCCAGAGCUGUGGAUACCAGUAAAGCUCUUUCAUAUGAGGCUUUGUCAAGUCUUCACUGAUUUUUUCAAGGCACAGCUAUUCAUUCCGUGAUUUAAUUAGUCGCAGGUUCUAAGGAAAAUCUGCUGGUGUUUAGUUCAGUUGCCACAUGAUUGGUUGCAGUCAAGCCUUUGUGAUACUUUAGAAGAUAUAAAUAUCUCAGAAAUUCCGCAAAUCAGCUGAAACAAUUGGUCGCAAUGGAGGUCUGCUCUUUGGAGUAAUUUCAGAGAUAAAUUUGAGAAUGAGAAAACCAUGCUCAAAGGUGCACUUGUUAAGAAGGCAGCAAAAGAUCAUAGACAGAGAAUAAGCAAACAUGUAAUUACAGAACUUUGUCGUUUUUUUCCCUUGCUUUCUUUGGAUCAUCAUGCUGAUGCGACUUACUCUAUUUUCUGCAGAAUUUUAUUGUUGUUUUGAAGUAUUACUUGAGGAUUACCUUGAGGAAACUUGCAUAGCUGUUAUGCCUCAGCAUCUAGGAAGCUGAAAAGCAUCUCAUCAAAAUGGUUAUUUCCAAGUCCCUACUGGGAAAGAUAGACCUGCCGAUGGGUGCUGUCUGUUUCCAGACAACAAAGGAGAGCAAUGACAUCUUGAACUCAUGGGCUACAAAUUUGGAAAAGCUCUUUGAUCCUGUUGAGGAAAGCUGCCACCAAGUCCACAAGCAAACUAUGGUUCAUAUGGCUGCUUUGCAAGAUGUUCUUAGUUGAAUGAAUGACCUCUCUUCCCAUGAGCCUCCCCCUCUCUUACCAAAAGAGAGAAGCUGAAGAGUGCGGUUUCACAUUGUCCUCUGAAGUGGGGACUAAAGAUAUCAUAGAACUCUCGUGUAGCUCUCUUAAAUUUGAUAGCAUAUUUUGCAGGUGGACCAGAUCUGGGCCUUGUUUUGGACUGAAAUGAUGCAGAAUACACUUUC